rnacentral:lncRNA from 1 species
CAGACCACCAGGUAAAAAGCCCCAGGUCAGCAAGCCAGCAGCCAGUAUGAGUAUAGAGAGAGAAUGGCUCUUAAAGUCUCUCAUUUCAAAGAGCUUUUGUAGCUUAUUCUUGCUGAGCAAAAAGCACAUUUUGAGUAGUCCAAUUUAUUGAGAUACCACAAGGCUGAUACAGUUGAAAAUCAGCCUAAUAUGAAAAAAAUAAAUGGACUUUCCAUGCUAAGAAAAACAAAGCUAGUGACAUUUCCUCAGAGCCAAAUAUUUCAUCAGCCUCUGUCUUAGUUCUAGGUCAUGUGUCAACAAGAGGUUUGUUUAUUUUUUAAACCAUGUGUCACAUGACCCAAUGGCAUCAUCUAUAAUAAUUUUCUGGAGUGUACCAGACAACCAGGACCCUCUCUGGAACACAAAUACUGAGGCCAAGUCAAAUCAGCAGCUGUCUGUGUUUCUGAAUGAGCUUUUGUAAUUUAAAUGUCUCAUUCCAUUGGGAACUAAGGGAGGUGACAUAACCCAGAAGAAGCUCGGAAGUGAGAGUGUUUGUGGGGGUGGCUGAACUCUGUGACCUUUUUGGUCUGCCCUCCAAUUCUGUCUCUGGGAGUCAAUGAAUGUACUUCAGUUUUUGGCGCUCAGGACAAGCUUCUUGGGAGGUUUAUUUGAAAGAAAGAGAAAAGUGAAGCUUCAAGUAGGUCAAAUUGAAAUGAUGUCUCAAGUGCUCUGAAGCUGUCUUUGACCAUGAGGAGAGAAGAAAAAAACAAAACCACUACCUCUACUGAUGUCAAAGACAGAGCUACAAAAUGUGCUCAUUACGGGCCUAUCUGCCAGCAACAAAAGGGAGGAGACUCCUAUUUCAGCAGUUAGAAGAUGGGAAACAUUCAACCAGCCACCUAUUCUGGAAGAUACUAUUGGAAAGGGCACUUGACAAUGUUCUUCCUGGAUUCUCAGGUAGGUAUAAAAUAAUACCAAAUAAUUGUGAGAUAACUCGCAUGUCCUUGAACCCUGAUCUGCCCCCCCCACACACAAAGGAGUGUAUUUGUAAUGG